rnacentral:rRNA from 1 species
GUCUUUUUGAUUAUAAUUUAAAGUCUAAUCUGCCCACUGAUAAAUAUUAAAGGGCUGCAGUAUUAUGACUGUACAAAGGUAGCAUAAUCAUUAGUUUUUUAAUUGGAAACUUGUAUGAAAGAUUUGAUGAGAUAUAAGCUGUCUCUUAUUUAUUAUUAAAAAUUUAUUUUUUAGUUAAAAAGCUAAAAUAAUUUUAAAAGACGAGAAGACCCUAUAGAGUUUUAUAUUUAUUUUAUUUGAAGAGUAUAUAAAAAUUAAUAUUAAAAUAAAACAAAAUAUUAUAUUGGGGUGAUAGAAAAAUUGAAUUAACUUUUUUUAAAAGCAGAACAUAAAUAAAUGAUUAAAUGAUCCAUAAAUAAUGAUUAUAAGAAAAAAUUACCUUAGG